AUUCCUUGUCGGGUAAGUUCCGACCUGCACGAAUGGCGUAACGACUUCCCCGCUGUCUCCAACAUAGACUCAGCGAAAUUGAAUUACCUGUCAAGAUGCAGGUUUCCCGCGGUUAGACGGAAAGACCCCGUGCACCUUUACUACAGCUUCACACUGGCAUUAGGCCGAACAUGUGCAGGAUAGGUGGUGGGCUUUGAAGCAGAGACGCUAGUCUUUGUGGAGCCUCCCUUGAGAUACCACCCUUCGCACUCUUGAUGUCUAACCGCGGUCCGUUAUCCGGAUCCGGGACCCUGUGUGGCGGGUAGUUUGACUGGGGCGGUCGCCUCCUAAAGCGUAACGGAGGCGCGCGAAGGUUGGCUCAGAGCGGUCGGAAAUCGCUCGUUGAGUGCAAUGGCAGAAGCCAGCCUGACUGCAAGACUGACAAGUCGAGCAGAG
rnacentral:rRNA from 1 species